GGUUCCAUAGUGUAGUGGUUAGCACGUCUGCUUUACAUGCAGAAGGUUCUGGGUUUAUGCCCUAGUGGAGCCA
rnacentral:tRNA from 1 species